CUGCAAAAAACAGAAAACAAGAAGAAAACAAAUUCAUGUGUGAGCUCAUAUUCCUUUGAAUCAGCAGGCUUUUUCAUUUGUACAACCUUUAAUGUCUUCUGCAGCUGUACCUUUUGCUCCUCGUUGGCAUUGAAUUUCUCCUCGAGUUUCUGCAAGCAUAGGAGCUAAAGAUGAGGCAUACUGAUGCAUCAGCUCUUUCUUCUGUCCUCAGCAUAAACGGAGUAGACGAAGCUGGUGACUGUAAUUUGUUCCGACAGGCCGUCAAUGACUUCGUGUAACUGAAAAAAUACAAGCACAGGAUACUUGGCCACAUCUUUUGCAGCUUGCUGAAGUUGACAAAACGCAGUUCCAAUGAACAAAUAUUAGUGAAAGAAACAACACAAAUAAAUGUAGCACUAUAAACCAAAAGUGAUAUAAAUCAACCAUAAUUGGAGUCCUGCAAUCUUUAGGUGUUGUUGAGAAAAUUGCAGCUUUCUUGGCUACAGAAACAGGCUCCUUAUCAAUCGGAACCAAAUUGAUCAAUCCGCGCAAAGACUUCUGGUGUGGAUGGAACUCUCCACGUCUUGCGCCUAAUUGAUGACUUGAGCGAAGAUAAACCAUGCUUUUUCUUGCUGGUUGCAGACGAGGGCAAGACAAUUAGCAAGAGCAAGAAAGAUUUGGUGGUUUAUAUGGUUUUGUUACCUGCCAUGAUUGGUUGGGAAUUGGGGCACCAGUGUAGGAGAAGCCAUGCAUGAGACAAGCUGAAUCUCCCAUUAUUGUUGCAGAGAUUUUACAGAAUGGAGAUGGAAUUAUUAUUGCAUAUCAGGAAGGAAAAAUGUGAUCUUUGUUGUGGUAUGAGAGUUGGGUUUUAAUUUGUUUGUGGCAUGUAAUGAUUGUCCUUUAGCAUAUAGAUUUGAAAUUUAAAUGAAAACUGACGUUGAGCAGUAGAGUGGAACUGUGGAACUAUCAUUCUGCGACCACUAUUUUUAAUUGCUUUUUUCUUAGCUUCUUUUA